GCUGGGAAUAGUGGUGUAUGCCUGUAAUCCCAGUGGCUCAGGAGGCUGAGGCAGGAGGAUCACAAGUUCAAAGCCAUCCUCAGCAACUUAGUGAAGCUCUAAGCAACUUAGUGAGGCCCUGUCCCAA
rnacentral:sRNA from 1 species